rnacentral:rRNA from 1 species
AUUGAACGCUGGCGGCAUGCCUUACACAUGCAAGUCGAACGGCAGCACGGGAGCAAUCCUGGUGGCGAGUGGCGAACGGGUGAGUAAUAUAUCGGAACGUGCCCAAUAGUGGGGGAUAACUGCUCGAAAGAGCAGCUAAUACCGCAUACGACCUGAGAGUGAAAGGGGGGGAUCGCAAGACCUCUCGCUAUUGGAGCGGCCGAUAUCAGAUUAGCUAGUUGGUGGGGUAAAGGCCUACCAAGGCAACGAUCUGUAGUUGGUCUGAGAGGACGACCAGCCACACUGGGACUGAGACACGGCCCAAACUCCUACGGGAGGCAGCAGUGGGGAAUUUUGGACAAUGGGCGCAAGCCUGAUCCAGCAAUGCCGCGUGCAGGAAGAAGGCCUUCGGGUUGUAAACUGCUUUUGUCAGGGAAGAAAUCCUCUAGGUUAAUACCCUUGGGGGGAUGACGGUACCUGAAGAAUAAGCACCGGCUAACUACGUGCCAGCAGCCGCCGUAAAAC